rnacentral:rRNA from 1 species
AGUGAACGCUGGCGGUAGGCCUAACACAUGCAAGUCGAACGGCAGCACAGUAAGAGCUUGCUCUUACGGGUGGCGAGUGGCGGACGGGUGAGGAAUACAUCGGAAUCUACUUUUUCGUGGGGGAUAACGUAGGGAAACUUACGCUAAUACCGCAUACGACCUACGGGUGAAGGCAGGGGAUCUUCGGACCUUGCGCGAUUGAAUGAGCCGAUGUCGGAUUAGCUAGUUGGUGGGGUAAAGGCCCACCAAGGCGACGAUCCGUAGCUGGUCUGAGAGGAUGAUCAGCCACACUGGAACUGAGACACGGUCCAGACUCCUACGGGAGGCAGCAGUGGGGAAUAUUGGACAAAGGGCGCAAGCCUGAUCCAGCCAUACCGCGUGGGUGAAGAAGGCCUUCGGGUUGUAAAGCCCUUUUGUUGGGAAAGAAAAGCAGCAGGUUAAUACCCCGCUGUUCUGACGGUACCCAAAGAAUAAGCACCGGCUAACUUCGUG